UCGUGGUCCGAGGCCGAGGCGGCCGGCGCGCUGCUGCUGCGCCAGGAUAUCCUCCUGCUGCCGCACCUGUUCGAUAUCGGCAUCCACGAA
rnacentral:tRNA from 6 species